rnacentral:tRNA from 1 species
GGGGGAAUAGCUCAGUUGUAGAGUGUGUGCUUAGCAUGCAUGAGGUCAUGAGUUCGAUCCCCAGUACCUUCC